rnacentral:rRNA from 1 species
CCUUCAAAUCGGGGAUAACAUUGCGAAAGCGAUGCUAAUACCGGAUAAUAUCUAAUGGACUUCGGUCUAUAAGAUCAAGGGGGGCCUCUAUAUAUAAGCUUCCGUUUGAAGAUGAGCCCGCGUACCAUUAGCUUGUUGGUAGGGUAAUGGCCUACCAAGGCAACGAUGGUUAGCUGGUCUGAGAGGAUGAUCAGCCACACUGGCACUGAGAUACGGGCCAG